GUGCAGCCAAUUAAGCUGACCAUCCUCUUCCCCAUAAGGUCCAGAGUGCAGUGGCUGCAGACAGCAAUCAGCCCUUGUUGAUAGUGUAUGCAACCUGUUGCUUGUGUGGGCUGUAAUAAGGGACCUUAGAGACAGUC